rnacentral:rRNA from 1 species
AGAGUUUGAUCCUGGCUCAGAACGAACGCCGGCGGCGUGCUUAACACAUGCAAGUCGAACGAGAAACCUCGAGCUUGCUCGAGGGAGUAAAGUGGCGCACGGGUGAGUAACACGUGGGUAACCUACCCCCGAAUCUGGGAUAACCUCGCGAAAGCGUUGCUAAUACCGGAUAUUGUCCUAUUGGUUGUGACCUUUGGGAUGAAAGGCAACCUCUUCAUGAAAGUUGUCGUUCAGGGAUGGGCCCGCGUACCAUUAGCUUGUUGGUGGGGUAACGGCCCACCAAGGCUACGAUGGUUAGCUGGUCUGAGAGGAUGAUCAGCCACACUGGAACUGAAACACGGUCCAGACUCCUACGGGAGGCAGCAGUGAGGAAUUUUGCGCAAUGGGGGAAACCCUGACGCAGCAACGCCGCGUGAGUGAAGAAGGCUUUCGGGUCGUAAAGCUCUGUCAAGUGGGAAAAAAGUCUGAUGAUUAAUAGUUGUCAGAUCUGA